rnacentral:rRNA from 1 species
AGAGUUUGAUCCUGGCUCAGGACGAACGCUGGCGGCGUGCCUAAUACAUGCAAGUAGAACGCUGAAGAGAGGAGCUUGCUCUUCUUGGAUGAGUUGCGAACGGGUGAGUAACGCGUAGGUAACCUGCCUUGUAGCGGGGGAUAACUAUUGGAAACGAUAGCUAAUACCGCAUAACAAUGGAUGACUCAUGUCAUUUAUUUGAAAGGGGCAAAUGCUCCACUACAAGAUGGACCUGCGUUGUAUUAGCUAGUAGGUGAGGUAACGGCUCACCUAGGCGACGAUACAUAGCCGACCUGAGAGGGUGAUCGGCCACACUGGGACUGAGACACGGCCCAGACUCCUACGGGAGGCAGCAGUAGGGAAUCUUCGGCAAUGGGGGCAACCCUGACCGAGCAACGCCGCGUGAGUGAAGAAGGUUUUCGGAUCGUAAAGCUCUGUUGUAAGUCAAGAACGAGUGUGAGAGUGGAAAGUUCACACUGUGACGGUAGCUUACCAGAAAGGGACGGCUAACUACGUGCCAGCAGCCGCGGUAAUACGUAGGUCCCGAGCGUUGUCCGGAUUUAUUGGGCGUAAAGCGAGCGCAGGCGGUUUGAUAAGUCUGAAGUUAAAGGCUGUGGCUCAACCAUAGUUCGCUUUGGAAACUGUCAAACUUGAGUGCAGAAGGGGAGAGUGGAAUUCCAUGUGUAGCGGUGAAAUGCGUAGAUAUAUGGAGGAACACCGGUGGCGAAAGCGGCUCUCUGGUCUGUAACUGACGCUGAGGCUCGAAAGCGUGGGGAGCGAACAGGAUUAGAUACCCUGGUAGUCCACGCCGUAAACGAUGAGUGCUAGGUGU